rnacentral:rRNA from 1 species
AUUGAACGCUGGCGGCAGGCCUAACACAUGCAAGUCGAGCGAGCGGCGGACGGGUGAGUAAUGUAUGGGGAUCUGCCUGAUGGCGGGGGAUAACUACCGGAAACGGUAGCUAAUACCGCAUACCAUCAGAUGAACCCAUAUGGGAUUAGCUUGUAGGUGAGGUAACGGCUCACCUAGGCGACGAUCCCUAGCUGGUCUGCGAGGAUGAUCACACACACUGGGACUGAGACACGGCCCAUACUCCUACGGGAGGCAGCGGUGGGGAAUAUUGCACAAUGGGCGCAAGCCUGAUGCAGCCAGGCCGCGUGUAUGAAGAAGGCCUUAGGGUUGUAAAGUACUUUCAGCGGGGAGGCGUUACCCGCAGAAGAAGCACCGGCUAACUCCGUGCCAGCCGCCGCGGUAAUAC